rnacentral:rRNA from 1 species
AGAGUUUGAUCCUGGCUCAGGACGAACGCUGGCGGCGUGCCUAAUACAUGCAAGUAGAACGCUGAAGGAGGAGCUUGCUUCUCUGGAUGAGUUGCGAACGGGUGAGUAACGCGUAGGUAACCUGCCUGGUAGCGGGGGAUAACUAUUGGAAACGAUAGCUAAUACCGCAUAAGAGUGGAUGUUGCAUGACAUUUGCUUAAAAGGUGCACUUGCAUCACUACCAGAUGGACCUGCGUUGUAUUAGCUAGUUGGUGGGGUAACGGCUCACCAAGGCGACGAUACAUAGCCGACCUGAGAGGGUGAUCGGCCACACUGGGACUGAGACACGGCCCAGACUCCUACGGGAGGCAGCAGUAGGGAAUCUUCGGCAAUGGACGGAAGUCUGACCGAGCAACGCCGCGUGAGUGAAGAAGGUUUUCGGAUCGUAAAGCUCUGUUGUAAGAGAAGAACGAGUGUGAGAGUGGAAAGUUCACACUGUGACGGUAUCUUACCAGAAAGGGACGGCUAACUACGUGCCAGCAGCCGCGGUAAUACGUAGGUCCCGAGCGUUGUCCGGAUUUAUUGGGCGUAAAGCGAGCGCAGGCGGUUAGAUAAGUCUGAAGUUAAAGGCUGUGGCUUAACCAUAGUAGGCUUUGGAAACUGUUUAACUUGAGUGCAAGAGGGGAGAGUGGAAUUCCAUGUGUAGCGGUGAAAUGCGUAGAUAUAUGGAGGAACACCGGUGGCGAAAGCGGCUCUCUGGCUUGUAACUGACGCUGAGGCUCGAAAGCGUGGGGAGCAAACAGGAUUAGAUACCCUGGUAGUCCACGCUGUAAACGAUGAGUGCUAGGUGUUAGACCCUUUCCGGGGUUUAGUGCCGUAGCUAACGCAUUAAGCACUCCGCCUGGGGAGUACGACCGCAAGGUUGAAACUCAAAGGAAUUGACGGGGGCCCGCACAAGCGGUNUUCCAAGGAUUUUCUCAAGUUGGAGGAAGGGGACAACAUCUCUACUUUCCCUUCAAGAAUCCUUCCAAAUUAUGUUUAUGUUGGUAAUUAACGGCUGCGGUUUUGUCUUUCUCAAAGACAGUCUUGGUAAGGUCAAUAUGAUUAAUAGCUACGAUUGCGACGGUGUAGUAAAUGAUAUCAGCCAGUUCUCUGGCAAGUUCCUCGUUCGAAUCCUAUCCCUUCUUUUCGACCAGAGCGCCUAUUCAAAACCUCGGCUACUUCUCCGACUUCCUCCACUAACUUCAUAAAGAGACCUUCAUCAGUCCGAGACUGCUGUUAAUGUUCGAUUAAGUAGUCUUGGAAUUGCCUAAACGUUCAAUCUUU